CUAGAUCCAAGAGGCAUUUAGGUGAAUACCUAGGGAUCAGUCGAACCGGACACAGAGAAAAUCAUAUCACGCAGGACGUGAACCUGAUUUGCCUUUUAGUCUGAAGACACUUCAAAGUCACAUUGUCUAAAAAAUGGAGAGGUGUGAGAGCUUGGAGAGUGAAUUUAUUCCAGUGACUUAUGGUAACCUCCAGGGACCCUUGCCUUGAAAGCUUCAAGAUACUUUGGGACGUGAUGAAUAGAGAAGAAGAAUGUAAAGAAAAAGAAAGAAGAAAGAAAAAGGAUUGUACCUAUAAAUCUUCUGGCAUACAUCUCAUCCACACAUCCAACCAAGACAACCUCCGAACUGACAUAAUGUCAUGUCUUGUAUCACCCAUUCAUUUAUCGUAUUUAUUGUGUAUGUACUCUUCCCAAAUAAAGAGCAGUUCAUGAAAGAAA